rnacentral:lncRNA from 1 species
CGAGUUCUUGACGAAGCUCCGCUCUGAUUGUGACACAUGGGAAGAGUUCAUAGAGUCAUUUACUCUGUCAUUUUAUUUUUAAUUUAAAAUGUUUCUUUUUAGAAAAGAAAAAUAUUUUGAAUAGUGAUGCUUAUGCUAAUUUAUUUUCAUUAGCAAUAUGUAUGAAGAAAAAUGUAAUACCUUAAACCGAUAUUUUUAUAAGUUAUUUUGACUUCAAGCCUAUUAAUUAUUUAUAACCGCCGCGUAAUUUUGAAAAGCAUUCUUGAAUUAGAGUAACUUUUGAAUGUUGGGUUUAGGG